rnacentral:rRNA from 1 species
GACGAACGCUGGCGGCGUGCUUAACACAUGCAAGUCGAACGGAAAGGCCCUGCUUGCAGGGUACUCGAGUGGCGAACGGGUGAGUAACACGUGGGUGAUCUGCCCUGCACUUCGGGAUAAGCCUGGGAAACUGGGUCUAAUACCGGAUAGGAGCCAUUUUUAGUGUGAUGGUUGGAAAGUUUUUUCGGUGUAGGAUGAGCUCGCGGCCUAUCAGCUUGUUGGUGGGGUAAUGGCCUACCAAGGCGGCGACGGGUAGCCGGCCUGAGAGGGUGGACGGCCACAUUGGGACUGAGAUACGGCCCAGACUCCUACGGGAGGCAGCAGUGGGGAAUAUUGCACAAUGGGCGGAAGCCUGAUGCAGCGACGCCGCGUGGGGGAUGACGGCCUUCGGGUUGUAAACUCCUUUCGCUAGGGACGAAGCUUUUGUGACGGUAACUAGAUAAGAAGCACCGGCUAACUACGUG